rnacentral:Y_RNA from 1 species
GCCACGAAUGCGGGUGGAACUACAGCCUACGAAGCUCGUGGUCGCGGGUUCGAGUCCCGCCGGUCCCAUGUCAGGGGGGCCGUAGCUCAGCGGUAGAGCACGAAAACGUUUCACCCAUCCUUGUCGUGGUGGA